AAUAGAUACCCUGGUAGUCCACGCCGUAAACGAUGAGUGCUAAGUGUUAGAGGGUUUCCGCCCUUUAGUGCUGCAGCUAACGCAUUAAGCACUCCGCCUGGGGAGUACGGUCGCAAGACUGAAACUCAAAGGAAUUGACGGGGGCCCGCACAAGCGGUGGAGCAUGUGGUUUAAUUCGAAGCAACGCGAAGAACCUUACCAGGUCUUGACAUCCUCUGACAACUCUAGAGAUAGAGCGUUCCCCUUCGGGGGACAGAGUGACAGGUGGUGCAUGGUUGUCGUCAGCUCGUGUCGUGAGAUGUUGGGUUAAGUCCCGCAACGAGCGCAACCCUUGAUCUUGGUUGCCAGCAUUUAGUUGGGCACUCUAAGGUGACUGCCGGUGACAAACCGGAGGAAGGUGGGGAUGACGUCAAAUCAUCAUGCCCCUUAUGACCUGGGCUACACACGUGCUACAAUGGAUGGUACAAAGGGCUGCAAGACCGCGAGGUCAAGCCAAUCCCAUAAAACCAUUCUCAGUUCGGAUUGU
rnacentral:rRNA from 1 species